CAGGACAGUGGCCAUGGAUGUCAAUCUGCUAAGGAGUGUGUAACAACUCACCUGCUGAAUCAGCUAGCCCUGAAAAUG
rnacentral:rRNA from 1 species